rnacentral:rRNA from 1 species
UACGGGGGGGAGCAAGCGUUGUUCGGAUUUACUGGGCGUAAAGGGCGCGUAGGCGGUCAGCACAAGUCAAUUGUGAAAUCUCCGAGCUUAACUCGGAAAGGUCAACUGAUACUGUGCGACUAGAGUGCAGAAGGGGCAACUGGAAUUCUUGGUGUAGCGGUGAAAUGCGUAGAUAUCAAGAGGAACACCUGCGGCGAAGGCGGGUUGCUGGGCUGACACUGACGCUGAAGCGCGAAAGCCAGGGGAGCGAACGGGG